rnacentral:lncRNA from 1 species
UGUUGGUGGUUGUCCAUACCCUGAUUGAGAUUGUGCAUUAUAUGCAUUAUAGCUGUCCUGAGCAUAACCCUGUCCGGGUUGGCUAUAACCAGAAGAAGGUGGUUGACUAUAAUUGUAUGCAGAGCCAUCAGCUGGAGGUGCAGGACCUCCAGGAUUUUGUGGUUGCUGUGGCUGUUGACUAUAGUAAUCAUAGCCACCAGCAUGAGUUGACUGUUGGUGAGAUGGUGCAGAAGACUGGUCCCAAUUGGUGGAAUAUCCACCUGGUUGUUGGGGAGGAUAGCCCGAAUAUUGUUGCUGAGGCAUGUUAUACUGAGGUGAUGGACCAGAAUAUGCUCCAGGUUGCACAUAUCCAUAACCAGGUUGCUGCAUUGGUGCAGGGGGGGCCCAGUUAGAGGGUGGUCGAGAUUGGUAACCUUGCUGAGGAUACCCACCAGACAUUGAAGGAUUUCUAAGACGAUUCUGUGGAUUCAAAUUGAAAACCAAAAUAAAGGGAGUGAGUUCACCCAAAUUUCCACACAAGACAAGUAUAGGAAGCAACAUAUGCACACAUACACAGGUUAAACUUACAAAUGCAAAAAUCAACAUGUAAUGAACACGAGAUAAAGGGUAUAUAUAUUAUCUUGCAUUAACGGGUUGCAUACAUGAUCAGAAAGGGAUACGAAUACCUACAUACCGUACUGGUUCGUGAUAAAACUGAGUUACUCCAGCAGAAGCACACCCUUUCCCUAUUCGAAUUGAAUGGGUACAAAAGAAAGCACAGACCAUAGAAGCAAACAAUCAUUCAAUAUUUAUUGCCUUGAAAAGGCAAUCCAUCAUAUAGUAUAUCAAUAUGCAAUAUCUUACUCCAAUUGUUACACUAUACAAUAUAUCAUUCAUAUUCAUAUUAAUUCAACAAGAGUGACUGGACUACAGAUAUUUCACACCCUAUUAAGAUGAAUGCGCAACUCCAAAUUCAAAUAUACAGACUGUUGAAACAACUUUUCUGUGCUCCCAUGUACAUUCUCUCAUCCUUUGUACAACCCAUUCUAAUAGUCCAACCUCGGGAUCAUCAGUUAAAAACAAUAAAAUUAAAUAUUAUUUUAAUGGAACAUGAAUUAGAAAGAAAAGAAAAAUAAUUGAAUGAGGCAGAACAGAAGUGGCACAAAAUGUAUAACAGACAAAUCUUAAUAGAAAUCUUAAACAUAACUGGUUAGUUAAGAAAACUAUUUAACACUGGACAAGAAUAAUAAAACUGGACAAGAAUAAUAGUAUAGGGAAAAUAAUUAAAGUGCUGAACGACGGACAAAUUUCAGGUUACCUAUGCCAAAUGUAAGUCCAGUAUAAGAUACGAGGAUAAAAUACUACUCCAAGUACACUAAGGUUCUUUUUAGAAAUAAACUGAAAAGCACAAGAGACCUAGUUGAAAACUAUUUCAACAUAAUUCAACAUUGAGUCUAAUAAUGACACUAUAGUCAAAAAGUAUUAGUAGGAGACUUACUGCCCUUGAUAAUAAAUAUCAAAACUGAGAUUUAGAACCAUACCAGGGCAUGCUGAGGGAACACCAACAAAAGGAUUCAUGUUGGUGUCACCAAUGGUCCAAUAGACACUAACCCUACAACAGUCCCAAUAACAAUAUCAGUCAUAGGAUACACAAUUAAUAAGCAUAUUCCACUGUCGAAAGGUUAUAAUCUCAAUGAGUAUCCAUCUGGCCCAAAAAUAUUUCAUAAUAACAGUAGCCUUCAGAGCACCAGGAAUCUAAACCAACAAAAACAAUGAAAGACGCACCUCACCAAAGCACUGGGCUAAGUGAAAAACACAAUUAAAAUACGGUCUUUGUAAAUAUAUGGUAUCUUGGUCAAGAAAACUGACAGGCCAAUUCUAAAAUAUUGCUACCAACGUCCUUGAUUCGUGGAUGUAUAAAAGAGAUAAUGGCUAAGACGUAUUAGCUAAUUAUAUAGAGCAGACUACACAUACACAAACAUAAAGACACAGUUGACAAGUCAGACCCUGAAAGUUCAUCAUGACCAUCACCUAAUCCUAGACUAAACAUAAAGGAAGAUGCGUAUUGCUAAUAUAUCAAGACUGUUAAUCGAACAAGAUACCAUACAAUUGUUAACAACAUUAUACAGCUAAUAAUUGAUGGCUAUAGCAGUGAACGGUCUCACUAAUCAUGUUUCCACUUGGCCAGCUGACGCAACAACACUGAGGAGUUGGAGAUUACAAGCAAGAACAUCGUAACAGCCAUUAGUCUUCUACCUUUGUGCAUUAUUUUGCAUAAGUCUUGAAACACUUGCACAAUAUGAAAAUAUGUACUAAUUUUCUUUUGAGAACAAUACAGUAGGUAACAGAGAUCCGAAUAAUAUUAAUGUAUCAUAUAAUAAAGACCACUUGUUAAAGGCACAUUAGGCUCUGAAAAAAUUUCUACUUCCUUAAACAUACUCUAUCAUCUAAGCUGCUUUGGAAGAGAGAUCAAUGCAUCCCGAAUAUGCAUCAAGUUACUAAUAAUUGUCAUACAGCUAAGCUGCUUCGGUCCAGAUCAAAACAUCAAUAAUAUACAAUGUAUAAUAAUGGUCACAGUGUUAUGCUGUAUCAAUAAUAAGAUCAAGGAAUUAAUUAAUAUGAACAGAAUAAAUGUCAUUUAUGCAAAACUAAAGUGAAAACCAUCACAUGAUUUACCAAAACUAUUUUUUCCCUGCAAAGGAACAAAUCGGAGAGUACAAAAAUCAUGUAUCAUGUUACAGGAAUCAAUCAGAUCUAACUUUAUAUUUUAAUAUCAUAAAAAAUAAAAAGACCCAACAGGCAAUGACAAGCACACCGUAUUCAUCUCACAAUAACAUAAAGCUUGCACGUAAAUCAACCUAGUUUGAUCAAACAGUCUAGAUGAUAAAUAGAUUGUGCAACAUACAGAGUACAAAACCCAGUAGAAAAACAGCAAUUUUAAACACUAGACUAGACUUGGCCUUACCAGGCAGAUAUGCCUAAGCCAAAUCUGGCAAAAAGAAGCACCAUUAACAUACCUCGCCACUGAUGAUUUGAUUAACCAACUCCUUUGCAGACUCAAUUUGCUCAGGUGUCCCAUCAACUUUUAAUGUUCUUUCAGUUGAUGUGUCACCUGGAGGAAGAUGCAGAGGUAUCACCUGAAAAAACAUAUAAACAUUAGCCAAAAGUCAUAAAAGUUGGCCGUUAACACAAUCUCUUUUCAAAUUAGUUGCAAUCACAAAGCUACGGUAAAAAAAAACAUAACAACAAGGCUACACUAACUAUGAUUUAUCACCGAUAUCUAAUACACAAAUAAGAGAACAGCGUUCUAUAUAUCACUUAUAAGUACAAACCUGAAUCCGUGCUCCUGUAGAAGCUUGCAUAUUCUUUAUAGUUUCUCCUCCUUUGCCAAUUAUAAGGCCAACCUGAAGAUGCACACGAUAAACAUAUCAACCCAAAGAGAUAGAAAAAAACAGAUCUGAACACGGAAAUUACGCAUGACAUUGUACAAAGCAUACACUCAUAUCUCCCUUUCACACCUUAUUAUUUGGAAUUCUCAUGACAAAUUCAUCUGACCCAGCUUGUCCAGUCAGUCUUCGAGCAACAAUGCCAGAACCUCCAGAUUCAGCCUGGUACAACAACAGUUGUCAUCGUAUAUAUUGCAAUAAUUAAACAUGUGAGAAAUUUAUCAAGAAACAGACCUCCUUCGUAAGAUUAUCGUAACGUCAAAUCUAUGAUAAACGAAAUUUAAUACAUACAUGAUUCACAGAAAAAAAAAUAGUAUAAAAUGUGAUUAACCUCAGCAAGAACUUCAUUUAUGAGUUUCUCCGCAGAAGCAAUUGCCUCGGGAGUGCCCAUAAGCUCAACCGUUCUUGAAGUAGAAUUAGGGUCGGCGUCCAUAUCGCGAGUAACUUGAAUUUUAGCACCAGACUGCAACUGGAGAUACUUAAUAGUCUCUCCACCUUUGCCAAUAAUCACACCAACCCUGCCGUUAGGGAUAUCGAUCUUCUUGCUCGUUCCUUGGUGACUGUAGGAGACGGGAGGAACGGCUGAGUACUGAGGCUUCGCAUCUACGUUCACGGAAAACAGAGUUUAUAAAACCCUAACCUAAACGAGAAGAAUAGUGGAGCAGAGGGGAUAGCUAGUUACCGUAAGAAUCGAAGCCGGAGGUAGGAGCGCCGUUAUCGGGUUUGGCACGCUUGGCGUCGAGCGGGGGAGGAGGAGCAACGCUGAGGAGGCGAGUGGCGACUUCUUGAGCACGCUGCUUGGCAAGCUCGAUGCCGGUAGCGGGGCCGGCGGAGAAGCCGGUGGGUCUAUCGGAGGAUUGGUCUUCAUACUUGCGUUUGAGGGGCGUAGAGUCGUUGGGAGAUGAAUAGUGGGCUUCGUCCGCCAUUGGCACAAACCCUAAAGACGUUAGGUGUGUAAGAGAGGGUGGUGAUGUUAUUUAUAAUAUAUAGUGGUGGCUAGUGUGACCCCUACCAUGGGUGGGGCAGGGUAGAAAAAAAGGAGAUAUUUUGCAUCCCUUCGCUUGAGGCACCUUUACGUCAUUCAUACAAUUAUACAGAUAAAACUAUUUUUAUCUCUAUUUUUCUAUCUAUCAUCUUAUUAUUUUUAAUUUUUCUAUCUAUUUUUUAUUUUUAAGAUUUUAUAUUUAAGAUAAACAUUUUGAUAUUAUCGGUGUAUCUACUACUAAUUAAUAUUAAUUAACUUUUAAUUUUUUAUAAUUAUAUCUUGUGUUUUUAUUUAAAAUUAACAUGAUUACAUCAUCAAUAAUAAUAAAAAUAAAACUAAUUUAUGUUUAUAGAUUCAACUUUUAUGUUAUUGUAGGGUUUAAUUUUUUAUUUUCUUCAUUUUUAAAAAAUUAAACUAAACAUUUUUAAUUUACUACUUUUUUAUUUUUAUUUUGUAAAAAAUCAUUUUUUUAUUUAUUAAUUAUAUUUCUAACUAUUUAAAACAUUAAAUUAUUUUUUUAAUGCAUUCAAAAAUAAAAUUAUCAAAAAAAUUAAUUUAUUAAUUUUAAUUUUUUUACUUUUGAAAUGGUGUUAGAUAGGGAUAUAAAAAUAAAAGAGUGUUAGGUAAGAAAAUAAAGACAAGUGCGGGAAAAUAAAAAUGUAAAUAGUGUUGUUAUAUGAGGGAUUGAAUCUACAAUUCUCACUUCAUUUCAACUUUUUCGCUGUUUCUUUAAUCAAUAUUUUUUAAUAAUAUUCAUACAAAAAUAAAGGUAAUUUUUUAAUGAUAUGUUUUUUUAUUAACAAUGAUAUAUUUUAUUAAAUAAGAGUUUAUUUGCGAUAUUUUUUGUAAACUUUAUUCGGUUAAAUUGAAAAAAUUAGUAUUGAGUGACUUUUUAUGGAUUUUUAAAAUUAAAAAAAAAAAUAAAGAAGCCUAUAGGAUAAAAAUAAAUAUGUUGCUUAUGGAUUCAGUUGAAAUUAUCUUAAAGAGAAACUUUAUUUGAAUUAGUUAUAAUAAGUUUAUUUAAUUAAUGUAUUAGUAUAUUAACAAUUACCAUAUACAAUUUAGAUAUUGGCAUUCUCAUUAGUAUUUUUUUAAUAUUUUUUACCGUGAGAUCAUACAACUGAUGUAAUGGUCAAGGUUAACGGCCCCACGACCGAUAGUUCAAGUCCAGUUAUGCUCAAUCAAGGUCGACGAAGUUAAUUCGUGAUUAGGAGUCAAGUAAUGCAUCCCUAAGCAUGAUUCAGCCCCUUAACCCGACCCAAUAAAAAAAGUCAAUCAAAGAUAAUAUAAGAUUUGAUUCAAAUAUUAUAUGUGAAACUAAUAUAAGAUUUGAUUAAAAUAUUAUAUGUAAGACUAAUACAAGAUUUAUAAAUAAAAUUUAUGAACUCGACUUUAUAAAUAGAUUAAUUAUAUAUAUACUAAUAGAUGUGAACAUACAUAUUUAAAAUUAUAUAUGACUUUAACUAAAUAUUUAUUUAUUAAAAGUAUUUAUUAUUCUAGCUGAAUCCUGAUAUCGAACAACUUUUUACAAAUACUCCACACGUAUUUAGUACCAAGACUUCUUUGAUACUCUCUGUUUGAAUUGAGGUGGAAAUUUGUGAGGAAGGGAGAUAGUGAAUUGAAGAAGAUUAUGGGGAAUGUGUGAUGUUGUUUGGAUUGAGGGAUGAUAGAGUGGAUUUGUUAUGAUUGUUUAUUAAAAUUUGUAAGUGAUGAGAUAGUUAUGACAUAAUUUAGAAAUUAUUUUAAAGGUGUAAAAUGCAAAUUUACAAAUUUAUCUUUGUCAUUAAAAAAUAUUUUAAUAAUGAGUUAGGUUUUUUUUUUUUGUAAGUUUGAGUUAAUUUUUUUUCUAAUAUAUAAUAUUCAUAAUUACUCUUAUUUUGUAAUACAAAAUAAUUCCGUGUUAAAUUAAAAAAAUAUAUUAAAUAUAUUAAAAUUUAUGAAAAUAAUAUUUAUUAUUAUAUACAUUUGUUAUUUUAUAUAAUUAUAAAUGUUUUGUUGAUAUGUCAAAUAAUAUGAAUAAAUUUAGCAACUUGUUCUUCAACUAUUGAAGGAUAUGCAUCCUUAACAAGUUGCCCUAAUUCGUUUACAUAAUAUUGAAUGAAUGCUUAUGGUUACAUGCGAAUAAUGUCAUGAGAACAUCCCGUGUGCACCAAAUACUCCAUCAAUUAUUGUUUGCAAGUUGAGUAUAUAUUUUCAAUUGUUCUUAUAUUUUUUAAAUGAGAUUCAUGUUCACACGAGCAAUAUCAUUAUAAAUUGCAAUUGUAUCAUCAAAUUCUUCUUUGUCGUUUCAAAGUGGUUUCCAAUUGUUUUCGUUAUCCAUCUAAUAUUUACCUUAUCAUUGACAAUCAUAAAAUAGUUUAUCGAUACACAUCAAAUAAUUUAUGCUACGAAUAACUCUAACCACUUAAAGUUGGAGUUAGUGCAAUAGUACUAAGGUUAAUAUUAGAGUGAUGUGAAGAAUAAUGUUAAGAUUAAGACGCACUUUAAUAUUUAUAAUUAAAUCUAUAAAAAAAACACAUAAAAAUAAACAAAACAGUAAAAAUGUAAAAAAGCAAAUUUAAAUUUAAAUGAUUCACUAUAUCUUGUUAAUAAAAAAAUGUAACACUAAACACACAGUAAAAAAAAAAAAUAUAUAUAUAUAUAUAUUAAAAACAAUAAAGACAUUGAAUAAAAAAAACAGUGAACACAAAGUAAUAAGAAAAAUGUAAAUAAAUUUAUAAAAAUUAAAAAUAAUAGAUGUAAAUGCAUUUAUAAAAAACUAAAAAUAAUUACCACAUAAAAAAAAACACUAAACACCUAAAAAAAUUUAAACACAAUUAUUAAAAUUAAAAAUAGUAAACAAAUAAUAAAAAAAAUGUAAAAACAAAAACACAAAAAACACAUAAUAACAAAUAAAUAUACAAAUAUAUUUAUAAAAAAUAAAAACAGUAGUUACAUAAAUUAAAAAGACAUGAUAAUAAAAAAUAUAAAACAUUAAACAAAUAACAAAAAAAAUACAGAACAGUAAUCAAAUAAUAAAAAAUUAAACAGUAAACACAUAAUAUAAAAAAUAUAAAUACAUUUAUAAAAAUAAAAAAUUUAUAAACACAUAUAAAAACAAAAAAAAUUAAAUACAUUUAUAAAAAUUAAAAUCUGUAUGUAAACCCAUAAAAAAGCAAACAAGACAAAAAAAACCUAAGAAAAAAAUUUAAAUACAAUUAUUAAAAUAAAAAAACAAUAAACACAUAAAAAAACUAAACAGUUUCUUGUUAUUAAAAAAAAUUAAAAAACAUUAAACACAUAAUAUAUAUAUAUAUAUAUAUAAAUAUAAUUAAGAAAUAAGUAAAUACAAUAAAAUAAAAUAAAAAUAAAAAAACUAAACAAUAAACACAUAAUAAAUAAAAAAAUAGUAAAAAAACAAUAAAGACAUAAUAAUAAAAGAAAAUGUAAAUACAAUUUUAAAAAAUUAAAAAUAAUAAACUACUUUUUUUAUGAAAUACAUUUAUAAAAUUAAAAAAUAGUAAAUACAAAAAAAAAAGUGUAAAUCCAUUUAUAAAAAUUAAAUACAGUAAACACAUAAUAAAUAAAAAAGUCAAAUAUAUUUAUAAAAAUUAAAUACAAUAAAUACAUAAGAAAAACUAAACAAUAGUACAAAUGCAACAAAAAAAUGUAAAUACAAUUAUUAAGAUUAAAAACAGUAGACAUAUAAAAAAAAUAAACAGUAUCUUGUUAAUAAAAAAGAUAUAAAAACAAUAAAGACAUAAUAACAAAUAUAUAUAUAAAAAUUAAAAACAAUAAAACAUAGAAUAAAAAAAACAACAAACACAAAAUAAUAAAAAAUAUAAAAACAGUAAACAAAUAAUAAUAAAAAUAUAACUUUUUUAUAAAAAAUAAAAACAAUAAACACAUCAACAAAUGUAAAUGCAUUUAUAACAACUAAAAAUGGUAUUAUUAAAAUUAAAAAUAAUAAACACAUAAAAGUAAUAAUAAAAAUGUAAAACAUUAAACACAUAAUAAUAUAAAAAAACAUUAAAGUUAUAAAAUAAAAACUAAACCGUAAACAUAAUAAUAAAAAUAUUUAAUUACCUUAUUCGUCCCUAUAUUUGGGGUCAAUAUUCAAUUUGAUACCGUGGUUUUUAAAAAAAUCAAUUUGGUACCGUGAUUUAAAAAAUAAUCAAUUUGGUCCCUAUGUCUUUUAAAAUGUAUCCAAAUUGGUCUUUCCGUUAAAUCCCUCCUAACAGCUAACAGCGUAAGGUGUUGCUUAUGAUAAAGAGAAUGUCUAUAUGGGGAGAGAGAUGUGAGAUUAUUAUUAUUAUUAUAGUUAUUAUUAAUACUAUUAUUAUUAUUGUUAUUUUUAUUACUAUUAUUAUUAAUAUUAUUUUUCUUAAUAUUAUUACUAUUAUUGAUAUUUUUAUUACUAUUAUUACUAUUAAUAUUAUUUUUCUUAAUAUUAAUAUUAUUAUUAUUACUAAUAAAAAAUAAAAUAAAAAUAGUAAUAAUAAUAAUAUUAAGAAUAAUAAUAAGAAAAAUAAUAUUAAUAAUAAUAAUAAUAAUAGUAAUAAUAAUAUUUAUAUUAAGAAUAAUAAUAAUAAUAAUAAUAAUUCUCAAUCUCACCUCUCCCUCCACAUAAACACUCUAUCUCCCACAUAAACACUCUCUCUAACCCACAUUCUUUCUGUGUCACAUAAGCAACACCUACGCUGUUAGGUGGAACUUAACGGAAAUGACCAAUUUGGAUACAUUUUAAAAUAUAUAGGGACCAAAUUGAUUUUUUUAAAAACCACGGUACCAAAUUGAAUAUUGACCCCAAAUGUAUGGACGAAUAAGGUAAUUAAAUAUAAUAAAAACUGUAAAACCAAUAAACACAUAAUAAUAAAAAAGAAAAGUAAAUACAUUUAGAAAAAUAAAAAACUGUAAACACAAAAUAUAAACUAAACAAUAAAUACAUAUAAAAGAGUAUAAAUAUUGUACUGUUACAGUCUAUAGGACUGAUAGCACGUCUCGAACUUCGUCACUGGAUCGACCGAGUCCCUAUGGCCUGUAUCUAUAAGGGCAAUCGAAAUCAUGAUUCCAAUUACUCUCCAGCAAGAUCAGCAAGGCUAAUCCAUGAUUAGGAGCUAGGUAAUGCAACCCUAAUCACGGUCCAACUCCCUAAUCCAACCCAACAAGAGAAAACUCGUCAAAGGUAAUAUAAAUAACACAUAUUCUAAGGAUCAGGUACAUUAUCUACCGUGCUCUAGCUAUCGAGUGUCGAACCCUUUUGUUGACUUUAGCGUCAAAGUGUCUUCUGCAUGUACUCUCAUUCGGUACUCACGAGACGACCGAGAACCGAGGCUAGGAAGGAAAGGAGAGGAACGAGUAAGAAAGGAAGUUGAAGAGUAGCACAACCGACCCAUAAAAAAGAAGAAGACGAGUUCUCUCAAUAGUUUUUUAGGCCCCAUCCCCGAACGAAAAUAAAUACAUUUAUUAAAAAUAAAAACAGUAAACAUAAUAAAAAAAUAGUUACCACACUUAAUAGAAAAAAACUCUAUAUAAAAAAAAAUUAUUAAAAACUUACGUGAAGGUGAAGGCAGAGAAGAAACCGUGUGAUAAACAUAACCAACCAAAGAACCACUGCAAUCAGACACAAGAAGAUGAACCAAGAUCCAAUCUGAAAAAAAAAAAAAAAACAGAAUGAAUUCCAAUAUUUUUCUCAAAUAAUGACUGAUAAGAUUAAUAAAAAAACUCACACAAAAAUUAAAAUAAAAUGCAACAAUUGUUAUGAUUUAAAGAAGAGGACGGCAACGAAUUUUCGAAACUUUAGACGAGUAAAAAGAAACGAGAUAGGUGAAUUAUAUAGCAAAACCUUUUACUAUAAUAGUAAAACAAAAUUAAGAAAAAAUGUUUAAUUAUUUAUUUUUUAUAUUUUAUUAAAGAAGGAAAUAAAUGGUUAUGUAUGGAGAGGGAAAAGAAUGAAAUUUGGGGAGGAAGGAAUAUGAGAGAAGAAAAGGAAAAGGAUAAAGUGUUGGAAGUGAGGAUUAAUUAUUUCUUAAUUAGAUAUUUAUUUAAAAAUAAUAGAAAUUAAUUUAAAAAUUAAAAAAGAAAAAUUUAAAUAAUUUUUAAUUUAUUUAAUAUUGUAAUUAAUUAUUUUGGUAUUUAAAAGUUGUUUUUUAUUUGAUGAUUGUCUUGUAGUAAUAGAUGACAAACCAUUAUAAUAUUAUAAUAAUAUUUUAUUUUAAAAAUUAAAUUAAAUUAUUAAAAUAUUAAUUUAUUUGUUUGUGAAAUUAUACUGUAUAUAGUGUCCACAUAUCACCAAUCAUUUAAAAUUCUCUACAUCACAAUUUACUGUCUUUUUUGUUUAGUAUGUGAAUUUAUCAGCUUAUUGUGAUUUUAGUUUCUCAAUUUACCCACAUCCCAGGUUAAUAUCUUUUUAAUUCCUAAAAUUAGUUACACAAUGUCAAUUAAGAGAUUAAAGUAGAAAUAAAAUGCUAAAUUCAGAAACUAAAAUACUCAUAAAUAAUUAAAUUCGGAGCUAAAACGAUAAAAUACAGUAAAGUCUGGGAUAAAAAAUUAAUAAAUAAAUAAUGAUAAAGUUAUAGUUUUACCUUAAUUUUUGAAUUUUAGUACUUUCAAAAACUGUUCUUUACCUGUUUUGUGCGACCAACUUAGCACACUGUUGUGUUUCGCGGCUGGGCUGCUUCAUUUCUCUACCACCACCAACAACCAUCGUCUUGUCACCUCAGAGUCAUCUACAGUUGUUCUUGGGGAUUUUGUGUUUUCAUUCACAUUUCACACUUACAUUAAAGGUAAAAACGAUUUUGAAUAUAUAGAUUUUGUUUGCAUAUUGCACCCAUUUUCUUUGUAUUCUUGGCACUGGCUUUUACUUUUUGGAAAAAGGGUUUGUCUCUAACAACGUGAGAAACUGUUGGAAUACCUGUUGGGAGAGAUUAAGCAUAGUGUUUGAAGCAAAAUUGUAUCUUGGAAUGGGAAACAAAAAGUUUAGACAACAGGGUUAACAAAACAAUACUCAUAUCCAUUCUCUCUAUAUUGGUUGUCAUGUACCUGGGUCUGAACAGUUAUACUAUGUUGCAUCUCAGUUCAAAAUGGUCAAAUUUUUCAUUUUCAUCAAUGUCAUUUGUUAUCAAUGUCAUGAUAUUUAGUUUCUCCAUUUGUUGUGUUUAAUGUUUGCUUUAUGAAAACAAGAGAGAUUUAUUCAUUAAUGCUAAGUAGUUAACUCUCUAUGGACUGUAGUAAUCUAAACAGUUUAGCUUUUUCACUUUCCAUUAUCAGUCCUUCUACACCUCUUUCUUCCAAGUCUUGCUACCAUGAAAAGUAGACAUGUCUAUAAUUAUGUGGUUCUGCAUCUAAAUUAUAAUAUAACACUAUAUUAAUAAAUUAGUUUCCAAAAUUAUGGAUUCUAGUUAAUUAGUAUAUGAAAUUGUAAAAGUAUAAUUGGAGUCAUCAAAGUUGGAGGAGUCAUUAUAAUAUUUCAGUACAAGAAUUAAAUUGGCUAAUGAUCUAGAACUAAAUUAUUUGUCAUUUUUUUAAUAUCUAGAAUUCAUAUAACAUUUUAUAAAUUAAAAAAAAACCAUAUGUAUAAAUGAUUUUAUUCAACAAGAGAAUCAUUAAUAAUGUAUUCUUUGUUCACCUCUGGACUCUGUCACUCUAUGUGUGUAUGUGUGUAUACACAGUCAAUUUUAAAUUUUAAAUAUGGUUUUAAUUCUUGUAAUCUACUUUCUGAUAUGUUUCUGGUCACUCUACACAAACUCAGCUUAUCUCUCAAUCUUAAAUAAUUAUGAUUUAAUUUACUGUUUAAAGAAAAAAAUCAGUUAAGUUGUAAAAAAAAAUUGUAUUGUUUUUUUCAUUUUUUUUUUAAAUUUUUAGAAAAUUAAACCAAAUUUUCUUUAAUUAUUUACUUUUAUUUUUUCAUCUUUUGUCCUGAACUUUAAUUGUAGAAUGUCCUAAAAAAACUAAACUCUGGAGAGCAUUAUUAAAAAGAAAAAAGGGAGAGAAUUGGUUGCUUGCUCGCGAAGUAUGAGGGUCUAAACAAAGUUAUAAUACUAUAUUUCCCAUUAUGAAUCUUUUAAAGAAGCAUUUUGUUUCAGUUUAUCGUAUACUCUUGGUUGACAAGUUUGUGAAGGAAAGGCCCCGAACACACAUUCAGAGCUUUAUUCACCAUUACUUCAAGGUAAAAGUUCUGAAUCAAAACCUCAUAUAUCUUUCUUCUGUAUCAAGUACAUGUUCUGUAAAUUGUUUUCUAUGACUGACUUCACUUGUUUUGAAUUUGAACACAUUUUAGAAUCACUUGAAAGAAAAUGGCAGAACAAAAUAAGGAAUGGGCUGUGGGAAUUGACCUUGGCACAACAUACUCAUGUGUUGCUGUAUGGCUAGAGGAACACUGUCGAGUGGAGAUAAUUCACAAUGAUCAGGGCUGUAGAACAACGCCUUCAUCUGUGGCUUUCACAGAGAAUCAAAGAUUGAUCGGUGAUGCUGCUAAAAAUCAGGCUGCUAUUAACCCAACUAACACUGUCUUUGGUAAAUAAUUGCUUUUUAUUGCAUGUGAAUUCAUUUAAAUGUUUAAACUAGUUAUUUGUGUUGGCUUUUAGUUGCAAAUGAUACCUUAACAUUCAUCAUUUACUUUGUGCCAAAAAGUAUACUUUUUGUCCAGUACUCUAAUUUGUUCUAUAACUUUAAAUUAAUAAAUAUCAUUCCAUAAGACUAUUUUGAUUAGCAUCAUUGAGGAAUAGCCUUAAAUUCGUGCUCGAUUAAUGACUAAUUUUGCAGAUGUGAAAAGGUUAAUCGGCAGAAGAUACAGUGAUCCCAUUAUCCAGGACGAUCUAAAGUUGUGGUCAUUUAAGGUCAUUGCUGAUUCUGAUGACAAACCCAUGAUAGCUGUUUCAUACAAAGGUCAGGAGAAACACAUUUCAGCUGAAGAAAUCUCAUCUAUGAUCCUCACAAAGAUGCGGGAGACUGCAGAAGCGUACUUGGAAUCAGGGGUUAAGAAUGUUGUGGUUACUGUGCCUGCUUAUUUUAAUGACUCUCAGCGACAAGCAACCAAAGAUGCUGGUACCAUUGCUGGCCUCAAUGUCAUGCGGAUAAUCAAUGAACCCACAGCUGCAGCUCUGGCAUACGGCCUUGACAAGAGAGCAAAAUGUGUUGUUGGAGAGAGAAAUAUUUUCAUCUUUGAUCUUGGUGGUGGUACAUUUGACGUGUCUCUGCUCACAAUCAAGGGUGAUGUCUUCAAAGUCAAGGCCACUGCUGGUGACACGCACCUUGGAGGAGAGGACAUGGAUAACAGAAUGGUAAAGUACUUCGUUGAGGAGUUCAAGAGGAAGAACAAAGUUGACAUCAAUGGGAACCGGAGAGCCUUGAGGAGGUUGAGAACUGCUUGUGAGAGAGCAAAAAUAAUAAUAAUAAUUGAAUGCGGACUGACCCACAAACUCAUGGGCCAGCACUUAUGCAGAGCGAGACCGAAAAUCACUCGUGCAAGAUUUGAGGAGCUCAACUUGGACCUCUUUAAAAGGUGUAUGGAGACAGUAGAUAUGUGUCUUGUUGAUUCUAAGAUGGACAAGAGUGAUGUAGAUGAUGUUGUUCUCGUUGGUGGUUCUUCUAGGAUUCCCAAAGUGCAACAGCUAUUGCAAGACUACUUCAAGGGGAAGGAACUGUGCAUGAGCAUCAACCCUGACGAGGUUGUUGCUUAUGGAGCAGCAAUUCCCAACUUAGUGUUAUUAGAUGCUACACGGCUGUCACUUGGUAUAUCUUUAAAAGGAGAUCUCAUGAGUGUUGUGAUUCCUAGGAACACCACCAUUCCUGUUGAGAAGAAAAAAGUAUAUGUUAAGAUCAGAAGAUUUCCCAAUCUUAUGUCCAAAGUAAAGGUUUACGAGUGUGAAAGGACAAUAGCAAGUGAUAACAAUUUGCUUGAUUUUUUUAAUCUUUAUGGCAGUCCUUAUGCUCUUUGAGGCCAUCCUUUAACUGUAAGUUUCAGUAUAGAUGUUGAUGGUACUUUAAGUGUAAUUGCUGAGGAAGAAAGCAGUGGAAGUAAGAACGGGAUUACUGUAACCAACGACAAGGGAAGACUAUCAACUCAACAAAUUAUGAGAAUGAUUCAAGAUGCCGAGAUAUACAAGGCUGAAGACCAGAAGUACCAAAAGAAAGUUCAAGCAAUUGAUGCUAGCCAGCAGACAGAAACAGAGGUGUUUGUGGAUCAUCUGAAUGAGGUGAAGAGCCUCAUUGAACUCAUUAUGAGGAUUAACUAGUUUGUUUCAAAACUCAAAUUUGGAAAAUCGAUUAUGCUUCUUGAAAAACAUCACAAUCGAUUUUUUAAAUUAUUCUGAAUGUAUAGUGUUGAUAAAAAAAAUAAGAUAAACCAGUUAUUUAGUUUCUCAAACCACUUUUCUUGUUCCUCAAAGCACGAGCUCUCUCGUUUUGUUCUAGGAAGAAGAGCAAAUCACAACAAACAAAACUAUCACAAAACUAAUUUUAUUUAUACACAAAGUUCACGUUCAUGAGUCUACAAUUUUUUUGUCAAGAUUCUUUUGCACCCAGCACUGUAAAGAAGAAAACCGAAAACUCAUUCACAUGCAGAUGCCUACAUUGUUUAAUAUAUUUGAUGGAAGGGUAACAAAAUAAAUUAGUAUUUGUGCUUCUAUAUUCCGCGCAAAUCUUCUCAGUUUUAUGAAGAGUGAAAAAACUAUCUACCCUGCUCUCCCAUCCGCACUCACACUCUCAUAUACACUCAUCCAAACAAAAACUCUUUCCACUUCCCUUCCUCCUCUUUUGUCACACCUUGAAGCAAAUAGGAUGUAAGAUUGAGGACAUGCAAAUGAACAAGAUUACGUGAACCUUCCUAACCCAUUAGACAUCAUAUGAUAGUUUUAUUUAUAUAUUGAUUUGAUCUAUUUAGAAAAAAUGUCAAAUCUAAGCAUUUAUAAGCAAAGUUGGAAGUUUUUAGAAAAUAGUAGGCUUGAACCUCUUUUAAGUUAUAGUAUUUUUUUUUUUAUGCUAUAUCAAUAUUAUAUGAGUUAAAAUUGUUUUAAAUAAUUUUCAUUUUUGAGAUCCAUCUAAUACUCCAAACCAAACAAGCAUUAUCAACAAUUCCAUUUUUAUGCAAAAUUCAUCCAUAGAUAAAAAUAAAACAUGCAACAAAAAUAACUAACUGAAAAAUAAAUUAUACACCAUAAUAACUUUAUAUUAUCAUACAAUGACACAGUGUAAAAUAAAGAUAUUAACUUUUACUAUUAUCAAAACUUUAUCUGCCAAACGUUUAAAAUCAAACAAUUUCAACAAAAUCUUUAAAUUUUAUUGGACUUUCCUCAUCUGUAUCUAUUUCUACAGAAAUGGCUUUAACUGCUUACUCGUAUUAACAGCUACUUUCGUAUAAAAUAUAUGUUGACAAAUUAUUCAUGGGCAUAAUUUAUUCUAAAUUUUUCACCAAACACUUGCAAAUAUCACUCAAUUCACAAGAUAAACCGGGCCAUAAAUUAUCUAUUCCAGACGAAACCAUGAAGCAUAAAAUUGACAACUGAAAGUAGCUAAAUAAACUAAAAGUUCAUGAAAAUCGAGAGUUAUUUUCGUAACUUCAGAUAAGCCUUUUUCAAAAGCGAUAAAAAUGAACUCCUACUCAACCGUACAAAAUACUAAAAAUGUAGAAAAUAUCAAUACACCAAUUCUUCCAUCUUAACAAUGCAAUGCUACAUAGUAUCACUAGCAAAAUAAAACCGGUAAAACACAACUAAAAAAAAAGAUAGUCCCAGGGAACAGCAAGGGGACAAAAAUAUCAACUCUGAGGCGAUGCUUUAGCAACGGCAGUCUGAGGCUGAGUGUUCCCACUGGCAUUACCAUCGGCAGUAUAUGCUGGAGCCUGAGUAUAACCAGCACCAUAAGAACUACUGCUGUAUGGAGGCGGUGCCUGACCAUAAGUAGGCUGGCCACCCUGAGGUGCACCAUAUGUUUGAGAACCAUACCCUGGUUGCCCUGCACCAUAUCCCGAAGGUGGUGCUCUCUGAGCACCAGAUUCUGGUUGGGGUUGAGAAUAACCAGAUGGUGGAGGCUGCGCAGGAUAUGCUGACUGACCAUAGCCUCCUACCGCACUAGGUGACUGUGACUGUCCAUAAACAGGAGGAUUAGCACUUGGCUUUUGAGAUUGAGGGGCUCCAUAACCUGGCUGUGGUUGACUUCCAUAAGCAGCUUGGGAUGUAGGGGGAACCCCAUAACCUGACUGAGGAGUUCCCUGAGGUGGGUAGCUGGCAGUGUUUGAGCUGGGCUGUUGGCUGGUAGGAUAACCUUGCUGUGGCUGUUGGGUAGAUGGAGCUUGGGCUGAAUCUCCCUGAGAUGCAUAACUUGCAGUGUGGCCAUCUGGUGCUGAGUUAUUCCCACUACCAUAGCCGGUAGUAGCUGACCCAUAGCCUUGCUGCUGAUCAUAUGCUGGUGGCUGUCCAUACCCUGAUUGAGAUUGUGCAUUGUAUGCAUUAUAGCUGUCCUGAGCAUAACCCUGUCCGGGUUGGCUAUAACCAAAAGAAGGUGGUUGACUGUAACUGUAAGCAGAGCCAUCCGCUGGAGGUGCAGGGCCUCCAGGAUUUUGCGGUUGCUGUGGCUGUUGACUAUAGUAAUCAUAGCCACCAGCUUGAGUAGACUGUUGGUGAGGUGGUGCAGAAGACUGGUCCCAGCUGGUGGAAUAUCCACCUGGUUGUUGAGGAGGAUAGCCUGCAUAAGGUGGUUGAGGCAUAUUAUACUGAGGUGAUGGACCAGAAUAUGCUCCAGGUUGCAUAUAGCCAUAACCAGGUUGCUGCAUUUGAGCAGGGGGAGCCCAGUUCGAGGGUGGUCGAGAUUGGUAGCCUUGCUGAGGAUAUCCACCAGACAUUGAAGGAUUUCUAACACGAUUCUGUGGAGACAAAUUCAAACCAAAUAUGAAGAGUGAAUUCACCCAAGUUUCCACAUUUCGAGUACAGAAAUCAACAGAUGCACACACAUACACAGGUUAAACUUACGCAGUUAAGAAUAAACAUGAAGAACACAAGAUAAAGUAUACAAGUUGCAUAAAAAGAUUGCAUACAAGAAUAGAAAGGGAUAUAUAUACCAACAUACCGUACUGGUUCGUGAUAAAACUGAGUUACUCCAGCAGCACACCUUUUCCCUAUUCGAAUUGAAUGGGUACAAAAGGAAGCACAGACCAAAGAAGCAGACAAGCAUACAAUUUGAAUUGCUUAAAAAGGCAAUCCAUCAUAUAGUAUCACAAAAUAUGUAUGAUCUUAUCUCAAUUAUUACACCAUAUAAUAUAUUCUUCAUAAUCAUAUUAAUUCAACUAGAGUAUCAGGACUACAAAUAUUUUACUGCAUAUGAUGAAGGAGUAACCAUAAAUAUACAGACUGUCAAGACCACUUCCCUGUUCUCCCAUGUACCUCCUUUUAACCUUUGUUUAACCCACUCUAACAGGUUAACCUCAAAGGAUUAUAAAAUAAAAGAAAAUUAAAUUAAAUAUUAUUUGAGUAGAACAGGAAUUGAAAAUAGGGACCUGAAAAUGUAUUUAAUGUGUGUAACUCGAGCGUCAAAACUAUCAGUUAAAGGGCACAAGAUUAAGAAAAACAGUUGAAUGAUAAGACAGAUAAAAAGUGGGCAUGGGCUAUAGAAAGGCAAUGAUGCCACAAGAAAUGAACAACCCACUACACACAUCCGAAACAACAGACGGAUCAUAAAAGAAGUCUUGACACAUAACUUGUUAGUUUAAACAAUUAUAACUAUAAAUUGAUGAAGUAAUAGUAUAGGAAAGUUAUUUUUCCUCACAAUAGCAACUACAGGUUAUUAUGCCAAAUGUAAGUCCAGCAUAAGACACAAAUAUAAAAUAUUUUUUCAAAUAUAUGAAGUUUUUACGAAUUAACUAAAAAGCACAAUUGGCAUGGUUGAAAAGGAUUUCAACACAAUAAUCAAUAUAGUUUAGUAAGGACACUGUAAGUAAAAAAAUGUAUCAAUAGGAGACUUACUGCCCUUGAUAACAAUUAUCAAAACUGAGAUUUAGAACCAUACCAGGGCAUGAUGAGGGAACACCAACAAAGGAAUUCAUGUUGGUGUCACCAAUGGUCCAAUAGACACUAUAAUCCUACAAUAGUCCCAAUAACAAGAUCAGUCAUAGGAUACACAGUUAAUAAUAUUCCAUUGUUGAACAGGCUAUAAUCCCAAUGAGAAUCCACUUGGACAAAAAAAUGUCAUAAUAAUAGUAGCCUUCAUGGCCCCCAGCAACCUAGCCCACAAAAGCGUUGAAAGACCCACCACACUAAUGAACUGGGCCAUGAGAAAAACUUUACCACAGUUAAAACAGUCUUUGCAAGAUCUUGGCAUCUUGGGGAGAAAAGACAAUCCAAUUCGAAAAUAAUCCCAUUAAGGUCCUCACUUUCUGUAUGUAUAAAAAUCGGUAUGAUUUAUUAUCUAAUAAUAUAGCAGAUAACAAUGACACACAAACACAUAUAGACACAGUUUUUUACCAUUGACCUAAGCUAAGACCAAACUAAAGAUACUGAUCUGUGAAUAUGGUACUACUAAAUCAGGACCCAAUUCAUGAACAUACCAUACAUUUGUUAACACCAUAAUAUAGCUGAUAAAUAUCAUGGAUACUACAGUGGCUUGUCUCCCUAAUCAUGUCUGUUUUUGGUGAGCAAAUGCAACUAAGCGGAGGACAAUUGGAGAUUACAAGUAAAAACAUCAUAACAUCAAUUGGCAAUUCAGUGUGUUUUGUUUUAAAGUUGGGAAGUCUCAAACGGAAGUUGAACUCAUUCAGACUAGAGAGAUGGAUUGGAGUGUGUAACUGUUAAACAAGCACACAAUUUAUCUUCCACCAUUUUGCAUUUUUUUAUACUAGUCUUGAAACAAAACUAUGCACUAAUUCUCUUCCAGGAACAAUACAACAAGUAACAGACAUCCAUCGAUAUAGAUGUAUCAAUUAUCAAAAGAUUACUUGUUGAAUAUACUUACAGCUGAAGAAACAGUGCUUAUUUAAACAUAUACUUACAGCUAAAAAGUCAAUUUAAUCAGGAGAUCAAUGAAUUCAGAACAUAUAAGUUGAUUGAUAAUGCUCACGAUAUGAAGUAAUAUCAUUAAUAAGAUCAAUGAAUUGAUAAACAUGGACGUAAACAUCAUUUAUGCCAACUAAGGUGAAAUCAUCACAUAAUUUACCAAAUUAUUCUCUCCCAGCAAUGAAACAGAAUAAAUUAUUGAAGACAAUCCAAAACUCGUCUAACAUGUUAAUGAAUCCAUCAGUUCUAGUUUUAUAUUUUAUUUUAACAUCAUACCAAAUAACAAAGUUCUAGUUCUAAAUUUUAUUUUAAUAACAUACAAAAAUAACGAAGACCCAGGAGGCAAUUACAAGUGCACAAUAUCAUCCUUACAAUCACAUAAAGUCACCAAUGUGAUCAAAUAAACAUUCUAAAAGAUGAUUAUAUAUCAGCAACAAAAAGAAAACAGAACCGAGUACAAAAUCCACAAUUUAAACACUAAACUGUACUUCGCACAAGGCAGGCAUGACAUGCUAAGCCAAAUGUAUCCACCAGAGAAAAUUUUUAACAUACCUCACCACUGAUGACUUGAUUAACCAACUGCUUUGCAGACUCAAUUUGCUCAGAAGUCCCAUCAAUUUUUAAUGUUCUUUCAGUUGAUGUGUCACCUGGGGGAAGAUGAAGUGGUAUCACCUGGAAAAAUAUAGACAUUAGUAUAAAGUGACUCCAGAGGAAUUUCCAAGCCUCGAGUGUCAGAAGUUAUCAUACUCUUUCAUAUUAGCAGUAAUCACAAAGCCACAGUAAAAAAACAUAUCACGAAAUCCAAGCAACUAUGAUUUAGCACCUAUGUCUAAUACACAAUGAAGACAACAAUAUACUCUUUAUGACUUAGAAGUGAAAACCUGAAUCCGUGCACCAGUAGAAGCUUGCAUAUUCUUUAUAGUUUCUCCUCCUUUACCAAUUAUAAGACCAACCUGAAGAUGCAUACAACAAACUAUAUCAACCAAAUCAAUAACACAGAAAUGAAUUAAAACAUUGCACAAAUCUUAAGAUUAUACAAAUCUUAAGAUUAUACAAAUCUCCUUUUUCAGACCUUAUUAUUUGGGAUUUUCAUGACAAAUUCAUCGGACCCAGCUUGUCCAGUCAGUCUCCGAGCAACAAUGCCAGAACCCCCAGAUUCAGCCUGGUACAGAAACAAUUCACGCCAGAUAUAUGUUAAUAUUAAAUCUUCGAGGAAAUUCAUUCGGAAACUAUUCAUGUUAUUCAUAUUAUUACAACUAUCAUUCGGACAACAUCUGAGAUAAUUACACAAAUAUCCCCACAUGCAUAAUUUGCAGAAAAAAAAAACUAAUAAUGAUGCGUGAAACCUCAGCAAGAACUUCAUUGAUGAGUUUCUCAGCAGAGGCAAUUGCCUCGGGAGUGCCCAUAAGCUCAACCGUCCUAGUAGUGGAAUUAGGGUCCGCGUCCAUAUCACGAGUAACUUGAAUUUUGGCACCAGACUGCAACUGGAGAUACUUAAUGGUCUCUCCAGCUUUGCCAAUAAU